ensembl:snRNA U4 U4 spliceosomal RNA
CGCUUUGUGCAGUGUCAGUAUUGUAGCCAAUGAGGUGUGUCCGAGGUGCAAUUAUUGCUAAUUGGAAGGUACCCCUGCAGGGUUUGGGGAGCAUCAACUUUGAGGAAUCAGUGUGAUACCUUGGAGUCUCCAGAGAAGUUCUAAAACACUUCCCACUUAGGCCUUUAUUUUAAAGAUUCUCUCCUUGAGU